GUCGCUAAGCGGUAUAAUUCAAAGCAGUCUCACUUUAUCAGCAGCACGUGAUCAAUGACGUCUGAAGAAUAAUUUCGUCGAACACCUGAUUGGUUUGGUAUUGAUUAAUUUGGGCUCGUUCGACAUUGCAGCCGACAGUGCAGGUGGCUGCUGACUGCUGACUGACUAAUUUACAAAUCACCUUGCAUCAUAAAUAACUACUCAUUAUUAUUUAUAAAUCAGUCAGCCAGUCACCGUUUACCCACAAUGCAGCAUAGACUUGAUGCUCUCGAUCAAGGCCCGUGGUUUCGUAGCAGACCUGAAGGCUACGCUGCUACGCCUUCCUCUCCUCUGAAGACCCAGUGAGGGUGGAGCUCAGUCAGAGAGCUGUUGAGGGACUGGUUAGGAAGAACACUUCUACAGCCAGAGAGGGGCAGUCAAGAAAUGGAACAGCAAGGCCACAGAACAUGACAUAAGCAGAGCUGUGGGAGACCACCUCAAGCCCCUGGUAGAGCAGGGGGUGGUGUUUACCACUCCACCACACCUUCAGCAGGCAGGAAAAUUAACCCUGAUAUUUUAAAAGCAGGGCAACAACGUCAAUAUAAUUGUACCCAAAAAUUGUCAGUUGGUUGCAUAAAUAAUUAUGAUUACUAAAUGUUACAUGAAAUGUAAAUAUUAAAUAUUCGGUUACAGUCUCAUUUUCAACGUCUUUUCAAUGACAUUUUGCUAGGUGUGAUAUCCCCAAUGUCAAAACACAGUUUUAAUGUCUCCAAAUCAAUAACCAAUAUGCAGAAACAGUUGGGGAUAAAUUGAAUACCUAAAACUAACAUGUUCUAUAUACACAAACAUCUGCCACAAUAA